AUUGAACGCUGGCGGCAUGCCUUACACAUGCAAAUCGAACGGUAACGGGCCUUCGGGUGCCGACGAGUGGCGAACGGGUGAGUAAUACAUCGGAACGUGCCCGAUCGUGGGGGAUAACGAGGCGAAAGCUUUGCUAAUACCGCAUACGAUCUACGGAUGAAAGCAGGGGACCGCAAGGCCUUGCGCGGACGGAGCGGCCGAUGGCAGAUUAGGUAGUUGGUGGGAUAAAAGCUUACCAAGCCGACGAUCUGUAGCUGGUCUGAGAGGAUGAUCAGCCACACUGGGACUGAGACACGGCCCAGACUCCUACGGGAGGCAGCAGUGGGGAAUUUUGGACAAAGGGCGCAAGCCUGAUCCAGCCAUGCCGCGUGCAGGAUGAAGGCCUUCGGGUUGUAAACUGAUUUUGUACGGAACGAAAAGCCUUCUUUUAAUACAGGAGGGUCAUGACGGUACCGUAAGAAUAAGCACCGGCUAACUACGUG
rnacentral:rRNA from 1 species